CUCCUCUUUACCUACCACCUGAUUUCACAAAGCUUGGGAGGUCCCCGCUCUUCCAUGGUGUUUGGUUAAAAUUAGUUAACAGGGAUGGGGAUCAAUAGAUGGAAUGACUGCAUGAUUCUUUCUUCCAAGCGAGAAGCUGUGAUUGUGAGACUUGAAACAGUUGAAAUGUGUCCUUGAUGUCCUUUCUAGUGCCUCAGGAAUAGCGAAAGGCUUCGAGAGUGCAACUCUGUGACCAUAUUUGAAUUGGAGCAUGCUACAGUGUGUCUGAACAGCCCUCUGCAGACUUUUUUUGGUAAGUUUAGAGAGUCUCUAUCAGGACCUCAGUGUGGUCCAAGGUUACCAGAGUUGUUUUGGCUCGUGGCAGAGGCAUAUGUGCUCCAUGAUUCUGAUGUUUGUCAUUCACAGAUCUGCUCCUGACCUUUGUUUUUAUCUCUGCAUCUCACCCUGAAGCUAACAUUAAGUGCAACAGAAGCCAGGUCUACUUGAGCAAACCCACACAGAAGUCAGAGGGCUUCCUUGGAGAGUUGGCUGCUGGCUCACAAGGACUUCCCUCAGGAAAAGAAAACAAGCAGGCCCCCAGAAGAAGCUUCCACAAAACCUUCUCUGAUCCAAGACUAACAGGAUGUGAUGGAGUAAUCACAGUGUGCACCUGCACCCAGGAAAAGCCACUAGCAACACAAUGGGUGGAGCCACAGACAGUGACACCCGGGAAAGGAUGAUUCACAGGUGACGGAUCACCACCCAGCACUGGGAACCACCUGCAGGACAAAGGCAAAUCUGUGGCUGAUAAACUAAAUGCUUUUUGGUUUCUAGGUCAGCAAAGCAGGUUUAUUGCAAAGAGUUCCUGCUAAUUGAUCAGCUCUUCAGCUUGAAGAUGAUCCAGCCUGCACACCCAGGUUUUCAUGCAGUAGAAAGCAGUGUGGAGAUGUGAGGUACGGGAGAACUGGGGGAAGAAUGCACGGAUGUUUCAGUGUCAGGACCUGUCCAGAGCUCAUGCCCACCCCAGGGAGAUAGAUCAUAUUCCCAGGAACAGCAAAACACGCAGAAUCAGCUAAUUCCAUGACAGAUAGCACAACCAGGGUGGAGUAACCAGCAAAGAAAUAAACCAAAUUUGAUUGCAGUAUUGCCUCCUAAA
rnacentral:lncRNA from 1 species